rnacentral:lncRNA from 1 species
GCAAAGUAGAAAGAAAAUAACGGGCCAUUGACAAUAGAAAAGGGUGGAAUGAAAUCUGUUUAAAAAGAACUUUUUUUCUUUCAAAUAUUUCAGAGAUUUCAUGGACCUUUAAUCAUUGUUAUCUACCUUUUGGAUUUCUGGACUCUGAAAAUGUCCUUCAGAGUGACCUUGAGGAGGGACCACCAGUCUAGAAAGUGAAAUCGAUAGGAAGUGGAAGCUCAUUCAUCUUCUGGAGACGGGGAUAAACUUAGUUACUCUCACACCACACUCAACCACUACUCCAACUUCAAUCCUGAGGAGUCUUUCUCAUAAUCCAGGAGCUGAAGAUACAGCUCACACAAUAGUGAAAAAUAAGCUGGGCACAGUCGUGCACACCUGUAUUGCAGCUACUCAAGAAGCUGAGAUGGAGAGAUUGCUUGAGGCCAG